rnacentral:rRNA from 1 species
AACGAACGCUGGCGGCAUGCCUAACACAUGCAAGUCGAACGAGACCUUCGGGUCUAGUGGCGCACGGGUGCGUAACGCGUGGGAACCUGCCCUUAGGUUCGGAAUAACUCCCCGAAAGGGGUGCUAAUACCGGAUAAUGUCUUCGGACCAAAGAUUUAUCGCCUUUGGAUGGGCCCGCGUUGGAUUAGCUAGUUGGUAGGGUAAAAGCCUACCAAGGCGACGAUCCAUAGCUGGUCUGAGAGGAUGAUCAGCCACACUGGGACUGAGACACGGCCCAGACUCCUACGGGAGGCAGCAGAGGAGAAUAGUGGACAAUGGGCGAAUGCCUGAUCCAGCAAUGCCGCGUGAGUGAUGAAGGCCUUAGGGUUGUAAAGCUCUUUUACCCGGGAUGAUAAUGACAGUACCGGGAGAAUAAGCACCGGCUAACUCCGUG